GCCAACAGAGACCCAACCGCAACAAAUCGACAUAAACUUUUCAGUCAAAAGAAAGCUCAAACUUCUGUGUGUUUUACCAACGAAAUCAGAAAGACAAAAGUUUUUUUUUUUCCUUUUUUCGAAAAACCGCGCUCGAAAACUUGUUCAACUUUUCCACCCACAGAAGCAGCAGAAAAAACAGAAACAGCAGGAGCCACAUUAACGACGGAAACCAAGUGAAAUGACAACAGCAAUCGGCGCUCAUAAAGUUGAGAAAGUUAUGUUGUUAUAUUAUACUGAUAUCGGUUGUUGGUUAAGAGGCUUCUGCUCGACCUUCCAGCAUCUCCUCUUCAUUCAUAGGAACAAGUUUUAUGUUUCGUUUGGAGAAUUGAUGUCGAAGCGGCGGCUCCCUCCCGACUCCCAGUGACUGCGGUUUUUAAAGUCAAAGCUCAGCCGGAGAGAAAAUUCCCUUCAAGUUGUCACAAUGGAAAUGGGAUAAGGAAACGGCAGAAGCGUAGGAUGGGCGAAAAGCAGCCGGGAAAGGCGGCUUGGCACAGCACGGAGCGAAAGGAAAUGGAAAACGAAUGAAAUAUUCAAUUUAUCAUAUUAGAAAGGCAAUCUUUUAGCUGGAAAACUUAUAAGGGGUUUUAAAUAAACUCACUCGGAAAUUGUUGGUGUUAUUUAUAGAUAUGCAACACAGAGAUUAAACAGA